GCAAGGGAGGGAGAGAGUGGGCAAGGGCUGGGGCAGGAUCCGCGUGGCGCGCUAAUGGGAAUCUGCGGGGUGCCGCAUUCUUGCACCCCGGAGCCUGGCUCGUGUGGCCCCCAGUCCGAGUCUCAGACCCCAUAUAACCCAUUUAGAACAAUCCGGAGGGGGAAGGUGCACAGCGACCUGUUUAUCGAUUCCCUUGGAUCCCUUUCGCCUGGGUCCCUGCGCAGCAGUUUGGUUGCUGGGGCACUUGGAAAAGGACCGAUCCAAAAAUCAGGGCUGGGCAAGAAACGCGGAGCCCCUCUUUCUCCACCCGAAAAAGGACUCUAGGGAGGCAAGAGGCUCCCCUGUACAUCCUCCCAAGGCAGCACCGCGGAGUCCCGGAGGUCCGAGGAGGGGUCUCCGGGGCAGGGACUGCCGAGCAAGUCAGGGACUCAUUUCCCAGUGGCCGCUGCAGAGAGGCGCAUCCCUGGCCCAAUUGGAAGGGGUUGGGGUGUGCCCAGCAGGGUCCCUGCAAGUGCAGCUCAGGUUCUUGGCUGAUCUGCGGGCAGGAGAGGGGCUGGGUUCCAUCUUCAGACCCUCAGCUCACUGAAACUCAGGUUUUUAAUCUAGCGAAAUUUCAAACAAAAACACUCUGGGAACCUCAGGAGCAGCGGUGGCACCCAAGAGCCCGUGCGUGUUCCGGUGUGUAUGCGCGAAGCUCUGUGCGCCUUGCCCGCGUCACCCGAGGCUGGAGGGUGUAGCCCUGUGGCGCAGGAGUCUGGUGCCCAUUGCUUUGGUGAUCUGGCUUGAACUCCGGAAUCCUCUUGUUUCUCUGCAGGGUGUGUUCAUCCCGAGUGCCAACAUGUUGUCUCUGGGUUCUUUUUACUUUCCUCGAAUCAUUAGACAUUCGAAUUGUGAAAAGUCCUCCCACCAGGAGGCUGCUUGUGAGGUGAUGUAGCCUACAGGCCCCGAUAGAGAUGGUGCCAGGCCAUUUGGACUUUCAGCUUCUCAAACUGAGCCAAAUAAACCUCUUUUCUUCACAAGUCUCCAA